AAAAAGAAGGAGGGGGGAAUUGAGAAUCAUUGUGAGAAAAAUAAGACAAAGAUUAGUUUUGUAUCCUCUACUCCUUACUCUCCCGCAUUGUAUUUUCAUUUGUACUCUCGCUCCUUUUCCAUUUGUUGAAUUAGUAUCGAAACAUGA
rnacentral:ribozyme from 1 species